rnacentral:sRNA from 1 species
GCUGGGCCCGGUGGCACAUGCCUGUAAUCCCAGCAGCUCUGGAGGCUGAGGCAGGAGGAUCAUGAGUUCAAAGCCAGCCUCAGCAAAAUUGAGGCACUAAGCAACGCAGUGAGACCCUGUCUCUA